GCGAACGGGUGAGUAACACGUGAGCAAUCUGCCCCUGACUCUGGGAUAAGCGCUGGAAACGGCGUCUAAUACCGGAUACGAGCUGCGACCGCAUGGUCAGUAGCUGGAAAGAAUUUCGGUCAGGGAUGAGCUCGCGGCCUAUCAGCUUGUUGGUGAGGUAAUGGCUCACCAAGGCGUCGACGGGUAGCCGGCCUGAGAGGGUGACCGGCCACACUGGGACUGAGACACGGCCCAGACUCCUACGGGAGGCAGCAGUGGGGAAUAUUGCACAAUGGGCGAAAGCCUGAUGCAGCAACGCCGCGUGAGGGAUGACGGCCUUCGGGUUGUAAACCUCUUUUAGCAGGGAAGAAGCGAAAGUGACGGUACCUGCAGAAAAAGCGCCGGCUAACUACGUGCCAGCAGCCGCGGUAAUACGUAGGGCGCAAGCGUUAUCCGGAAUUAUUGGGCGUAAAGAGCUCGUAGGCGGUCUGUCGCGUCUGCUGUGAAAACCCGAGGCUCAACCUCGGGCCUGCAGUGGGUACGGGCAGACUAGAGUGCGGUAGGGGAGAUUGGAAUUCCUGGUGUAGCGGUGGAAUGCGCAGAUAUCAGGAGGAACACCGAUGGCGAAGGCAGAUCUCUGGGCCGUAACUGACGCUGAGGAGCGAAAGGGUGGGGAGCAAACAGGCUUAGAUACCCUGGUAGUCCACCCCGUAAACGUUGGGAACUAGUUGUGGGGUCCAUUCCACGGAUUCCGUGACGCAGCUAACGCAUUAAGUUCCCCGCCUGGGGAGUACGGCCGCAAGGCUAAAACUCAAAGGAAUUGACGGGGACCCGCACAAGCGGCGGAGCAUGCGGAUUAAUUCGAUGCAACGCGAAGAACCUUACCAAGGCUUGACAUAUAGAGGAAACGUCUGGAAACAGUCGCCCCGCAAGGUCUCUAUACAGGUGGUGCAUGGUUGUCGUCAGCUCGUGUCGUGAGAUGUUGGGUUAAGUCCCGCAACGAGCGCAACCCUCGUUCUAUGUUGCCAGCACGUAAUGGUGGGAACUCAUGGGAUACUGCCGGGGUCAACUCGGAGGAAGGUGGGGAUGACGUCAAAUCAUCAUGCCCCUUAUGUCUUGGGCUUCACGCAUGCUACAAUGGCCGGUACAAAGGGCUGCAAUACCGUGAGGUGGAGCGAAUCCCAAAAAGCCGGUCCCAGUUCGGAUUGAGGUCUGCAACUCGACCUCAUGAAGUCGGAGUCGCUAGUAAUCGCAGAUCAGCAACGCUGCGGUGAAUACGUUCCCGGGUCUUGUACACACCGCCCGUCAAGGCAUGAAAGUCGGUAACACCUGAAGCCGGUGGCCCAACC
rnacentral:rRNA from 1 species